rnacentral:sRNA from 1 species
GGUACCAUCUGGAUGGAACGUCUGAAGGAAACUAAGUGACUAGAGAGUAGGAAAAGCUGGAAAGGUUGAAGCACGUGGAACUAGUGAAAGGACAAGGAGAAACAUGUGUUUGCCUGGAAGGACAGGUACUUAGACGACUGAACUGGCCUUUGUGUUCUAAUGGUUGAGCCUCAGAGUACAUAUUUGGGGUGCGGUUUGGUUUGCUUUGUAGAGUUGGUUUGUUCUGCACAUGUGUAUGUUCUGUCAUUUCCAGGACGAAAAGGAGGUUGUGCUAAAGGGAAAGGAGGAUCGAUGCACAUGUAUGCCAAGAACUUCUACGGGGGCAAUGGCAUCGUGGGAGCGCAGGUGCCUCUGGGCGCUGGGAUUGCUCUAGCCUGUAAGUAUAAUGGAAAAGAUGAGGUCUGCCUGACUUUAUAUGGCGAUGGUGCUGCUAACCAGGGCCAGAUAUUCGAAGCUUACAACAUGGCAGCUUUGUGGAAAUUACCUUGUAUUUUCAUCUGUGAGAAUAAUCGCUAUGGAAUGGGAACGUCUGUUG